GGGCCCGCACAAGCGGUGGAGCAUGUGGUUUAAUUCGAUGAUACGCGAGGAACCUUACCAGGGCUUAAAUGUAAGUUGCAUAGAUCAGAGAUGGUCUUUUCUUCGGACUACUUACAAGGUGCUGCAUGGUUGUCGUCAGCUCGUGCCGUGAGGUGUCAGGUUAAGUCCUAUAACGAGCGCAACCCCUGUCGUUAGUUACCAGCAAGUAAUGUUGGGUACUCUAGCGAGACUGCCGGUGUCAAACCGGAGGAAGGUGGGGAUGACGUCAAGUCCUCAUGGCCUUUAUGCCCUGGGCUGCACACGUGCUACAAUGGUAGGUACAGAACGAUGCAAGACCGCGAGGUGGAGCAAAUCGCUAAAACCUGCCCCAGUUCGGAUUGCAGGCUGCAACUCGCCUGCAUGAAGUCGGAAUCGCUAGUAAUCG
rnacentral:rRNA from 1 species